UCCCUGGUGGUCCAGUGGUUAAGACUGCACUCCCAAUGCAGGGGGUGCAGGUUCAAUCCCUGGUCAGGGAA
rnacentral:tRNA from 1 species